AGUGCAUGAGAAAUACAUAUAUAGCAGAAGCGUGAGGAGGAGAAUAUAUAUAAAUGAUGAUAAUAGUCUAAGAAGUAGAAGAAGGAUAAGGAGGAGGACAACGAUGGAUAAAACGAAAAAGGAAGAAGAGGAGAAUAAGAAGGAGAAGUGGAAGAAGGAGAGUAAAGGAAGAAUGAGAAGUAGUAGUAGUAGUAGAAGAAGAGGAAGAAAUAAUGAGAGGAAAGGGAAGGUAAUUAAGAGCUUCAACGUGGUAAUAAUCACCAAACAUGCAUCGAUCCCACACCCCUUCCCCACCUUGCACGCUUGUGUUCUUUCUUUGUCGCACUACAACGCCUUCUACUGCAUAUGAGACUGCGUGGACUUCGCACAGGAUGUUCGGAGAACAAGCAUUUAUAACUUCAUUUUCGCC
rnacentral:lncRNA from 1 species